rnacentral:rRNA from 1 species
UACGAAGGGUGCAAGCGUUACUCGGAAUUACUGGGCGUAAAGCGUGCGUAGGUGGUUUGUUAAGUCUGAUGUGAAAGCCCUGGGCUCAACCUGGGAAUGGCACUGGAUACUGGCAAGCUAGAGUGUGGCAGAGGGUAGUGGAAUUUCCGGUGUAGCGGUGAAAUGCGUAGAUAUCGGAAGGAACACCAAUGGCGAAGGCAGCUUCCUGGACCAAUACUGACACUGAGGCACGAAAGCGUGGGUAGCAAAC